AGCUUUGCACAGUGGCAAUAUCAUAGCCAAAGAGGUUUAUCUGAGGUGCGAUUAUUGCUAACUGAAGAGCUUGUCUUCAGUUGAA
rnacentral:snRNA from 1 species